GACGAACGCUGGCGGCGUGCUUAAUACAUGCAAGUAGAACGCUGAAGGAUGAGCUUGCUCUUCUGGAUGAGUUUCGCACGGGAGAGUAUCGCGUAGGGAACCUGCCUGGUAGCGGGAGAUAACUAUUGUAAACGAUAGCUAAUACCGCAUAAGAGUAGAUGUUGCAUGACAUUUGCUUAAAAGGUGCAAUUGCAUCACUACCGGAUGGACCUGCGUUGUAUUAGCUAGUUGGCGGGGUCACGGCUCACCAAGGCGACGAUACAUAGCCGACCUGAGAGGGUGAUCGGCCACACUGGGGCUGGGACGAGGCCCAGACUCCUACGGGAGGCAGCAGUAGGGAAUCUACGGCAAUGAACGGAAGGCUGACCGAGGAACGCGGCGUGAGUGAAGAAGGUUAUCGGCUCGUAAAGCUCUGAUGUAAGAGAAGAACGAGUGUGAGAGUGGAAAGAUCACACUGUGACGGUAUCUUACCAGAAAGGGACGGCUAACUACGUG
rnacentral:rRNA from 1 species